GUGUUGGAUGGGAUGUACACUCCGCUGCUCCUCUGGAAUGCACUGCUACCAGGAUGGUAAACUCUCAGCACCAGUAAGGAAUUAGAGAGGUGGAGUUUAAAGGAAAGGAAGACAUUUACUUGGAAAAGGAUGGGAAAAGAGAAGACAGACAGCUACUCUGGAAGAUCAAGGGGCAUCGGAAAGGCAAGAAAACUGAAGCACAGAUAGUAAUCAGUAUUUGUUCAGUGGCCAAGCUGGUGCUCAAAUAAGAAGCUAAUUCCAGAACCCUGGCUCCUUACAUCAUAAUCCAGUAUCUUCUAUAUAUAAGGAAAACAUGUGAAGAAAAGAAAAGUACCAGGGAUCGAACUCAGGACCUUGUGCUUGCCAGGCAGGUGUGGUGCCACUGAACUAAAUCCCUGGCCCAGGAAUGCUAUGAUUUUAUUGCCAGCCUUGGUAACACAGUGAACUCAAGGCCAGUCUGAACUGUACAGUGAGGCCGUCUCUGAGAGAAAGGCAGACAGACAGACAGACACAGAGAGAGAAAGACACAGAGACAUAGAAAGAAACAAAAACCGGCAAUGAACUUCAUGAGUUCUUCACUCUAACAAGAGCUUUAGUAUUCUUCAUACCUCAGGUGUUCUAAUUAGCUUUUGUGUUAUGGUUCUAAUUAUCUUAAUAUGCAUCCUUUCAUCAUAAAAUACUUUAAGUUUGGAUCUUACUAAUUCAGAACUCAUUAUAAUUCAUACACUGAACCCAAAUUACCUUGGCUCAAGUACACAGAGAGGGAAAGGCUUUAGCUAAAUAAUGUGACUCACACCCAACACGCUGCAGAGUUUUGAUUAUUUACUUUGCAAAACCAUAAGCUUAUUCCAUUUACAAAGCUAUAGCAUAGCAGAAAGCCUUUUCCACUUUCCAGCAUGCACUGUACAGCCAACAGCAUGUUUAUGAAAGAAAGCAGGUUGGUGCCCAGUGAAUCAGAAUUCUCCAGCUUCCCAUUGUCAAGCAUCUAUGGACCUGAGGACUUGCCUGGAUGUCCUUGCCCAAGUCAGUCAGGAGCUACAAGUUCAUAUGUUUUUUCAAAUAAUAAAACUGAGUAUUGCACAAAUUGUUGGCAGUGGUCUUUGUCUCCGGCACACUGUGCUAGGAGCUCUGUUCAUCUGUGUCCAUUUAUUGGUAACAUGGUCCUGUUCAGUGGAUGAGUUAGUUUUCCUCUUGUCUGUAAGUGACUGGAAAAGUCCAGGGUGGGAUCUCCUUCACCA
rnacentral:lncRNA from 1 species